rnacentral:rRNA from 1 species
GGUAGUAAAUAAAAAACCCAUAUAUUAUGGCGGUCACUUUAUAUUAGAGGAACUUGCUUUAUAAUCGUCAACACUCGAUAAUUUUGACUUAUUUUUACAGCCUAUAUACCGCCGUUACAGAAUUUAUUAAACAAUAAAAUUCAAAUAAGAAUCUCUAAAAAAUCAGGUCAAGGUGUAGCCCAUAAAUAAGAAAAAGUUAGUUACAUUAAAAAUAAUUUAAGGAAAAUAACUUAAAAUUGACAAGAAAAAGAAUCUAAUUACAAAUCUGAAUUAAAAUUUCAAAUAUAAAUCAUAAAACGUGACGC